GGGCUGUAGUCGGUCCCAAGGGUUGGGCUGUUCGCCCAUUAAAGCGGUACGCGAGCUGGGUUCAGAACGUCGUGAGACAGUUCGGUCCCUAUCCGUCGUGGGCGUAGGAAAUUUGAGAGGAGCUGUCCUUAGUACGAGAGGACCGGGAUGGACAUACCUCUGGUGUACCAGUUGUCGUGCCAACGGCAUAGCUGGGUAGCUAUGUGUGGACGGGAUAAGUGCUGAAAGCAUCUAAGCAUGAAGCCCCCCUCAAGAUGAGAUUUCCCAACUUCGGUUAUAAGAUUCCUCAAAGAUGAUGAGGUUAAUAGGUUCGAGGUGGAAGCAUGGUGACAUGUGGAGCUGACGAAUACUAAUCGAUCGAAGACUUAAUCAAAA
rnacentral:rRNA from 1 species